rnacentral:rRNA from 1 species
GUUUGGUUAAGUUAGAAAGGGCGCACGGUGGAUGCCUUGACACUAGGAGUCGAUGAAGGACGGGACUAACGCCGAUAUGCUUCGGGGAGCUGUAAGUAAGCUUUGAUCCGAAGAUUUCCGAAUGGGGAAACCCACCAUACGUAAUGGUAUGGUAUCCUUACCUGAAUACAUAGGGUAAGGAAGACAGACCCAGGGAACUGAAACAUCUAAGUACCUGGAGGAAGAGAAAGCAAAUGCGAUUUCCUGAGUAGCGGCGAGCGAAACGGAACAUAGCCCAAACCAAGAGGCUUGCCUCUUGGGGUUGUAGGACAUUCUAUACGGAGUUACAAAGGAACGAGGUAGACGAAGCGACCUGGAAAGGUCCGUCGUAGAGGGUAACAACCCCGUAGUCGAAACUUCGUUCUCUCUUGAAUGUAUCCUGAGUACGGCGGAACACGUGAAAUUCCGUCGGAAUCUGGGAGGACCAUCUCCCAAGGCUAAAUACUCCCUAGUGAUCGAUAGUGAACCAGUACCGUGAGGGAAAGGUGAAAAGCACCCCGGAAGGGGAGUGAAAGAGAUCCUGAAACCGUGUGCCUACAAAUAGUCAGAGCCCGUUAAUGGGUGAUGGCGUGCCUUUUGUAGAAUGAACCGGCGAGUUACGAUCCCGUGCGAGGUUAAGCUGAAGAGGCGGAGCCGCAGCGAAAGCGAGUCUGAAUAGGGCGUUUAGUACGUGGUCGUAGACCCGAAACCAGGUGAUCUACCCAUGUCCAGGGUGAAGUUCAGGUAACACUGAAUGGAGGCCCGAACCCACGCACGUUGAAAAGUGCGGGGAUGAGGUGUGGGUAGCGGAGAAAUUCCAAUCGAACCUGGAGAUAGCUGGUUCUCCCCGAAAUAGCUUUAGGGCUAGCCUUAAGUGUAAGAGUCUUGGAGGUAGAGCACUGAUUGAACUAGGGGUCCUCAUCGGAUUACCGAAUUCAGUCAAACUCCGAAUGCCAAUGACUUAUCCUUAGGAGUCAGACUGCGAGUGAUAAGAUCCGUAGUCAAGAGGGAAACAGCCCAGAUCGCCAGCUAAGGUCCCAAAGUGUGUAUUAAGUGGAAAAGGAUGUGGAGUUGCUUAGACAACUAGGAUGUUGGCUUAGAAGCAGCCACCAUUUAACGAGU